UACGUAGGGUGCGAGCGUUGUCCGGAAUUAUUGGGCGUAAAGGGCUCGUAGGCGGUCCAUCGCGUCGGGAGUGAAAAGCUGGGGCUUAACCCCAGUCCUGCUUCCGAUACGGGUGGGCUAGAGGUAGGUAGGGGAGAACGGAAUUCCUGGUGUAGCGGUGAAAUGCGUAGAUAUUGGAAAGACCACCGAUGGCGAAGGCGCUCUACUGGGCCACUACUGACACUGAGAGACGAAAGCUAGGGGAGCAAAUGGG
rnacentral:rRNA from 1 species